rnacentral:rRNA from 1 species
CCUACGGGUGGCUGCAGUGGGGAAUAUUGCACAAUGGGCGCAAGCCUGAUGCAGCCAUGCCGCGUGUGUGAAGAAGGCCUUCGGGUUGUAAAGCACUUUCAGCGGGGAGGAAGGCGGUGAGGUUAAUAACCUCAUCGACUGACGUUACCCGCAGAAGAAGCACCGGCUAACUCCGUGCCAGCAGCCGCGGUAAUACGGAGGGUGCAAGCGUUAAUCGGAAUUACUGGGCGUAAAGCGCACGCAGGCGGUCUGUCAAGUCGGAUGUGAAAUCCCCGGGCUCAACCUGGGAACUGCAUUCGAAAGUGGCAGGCUAGAGUCUUGUAGAGGGGGGUAGAAUUCCAGGUGUAGCGGUGAAAUGCGUAGAGAUCUGGAGGAAUACCGGUGGCGAAGGCGGCCCCCUGGACAAAGACUGACGCUCAGGUGCGAAAGCGUGGGGAGCAAACAGGAUGAGAUACCCGGGUAGGC